UAGCCUUGACAUACUACAGAAUUUGACAGAGAUGUUGAAGUGCCUUCGGGAGCUGUAAUACAGGUGCUGCACGGCUGUCGUCAGCUCGUGUCGUGAGAUGUUGGGUUAAGUCCCGCAACGAGCGCAACCCUCGUCACUAGUUACUAACGGUUCGGCCGAGGACUCUAGUGAGACUGCCUUCGUAAGGAGGAGGAAGGUGAGGACGACGUCAAGUCAUCAUGGCCCUUACGGCUAGGGCAACACACGUGCUACAAUGGCCAGGACAGUGAGACGCGAUACCGUGAGGUGGAGCAAAUCUAUAAACCUGGUCUCAGUUCGGAUUGUAGUCUGCAACUCGACUACAUGAAGCUGGAAUCACUAGUAAUCGUAGAUCAGCUAUGCUACGGUGAAUACGUUCCGCGGGUCU
rnacentral:rRNA from 1 species